UGCCUCAGUGUACAGCUUCAUCAGGAGAUGCUGAUGGGGUGAGAACAUGGAGCUGCAGCAGGUGCAGGGCUGCAUGAUGUCUCCAUCACCAUCCCUCACCACAGCUGAGGUAAGGGCUGACAAACAAGAGACCAGGAGCCAGAAGAGUAAGUAUUGUGGUUCCCAGCUCAGUUUGGUCACAGUAUUGGAAAUGUCCACACAGCACAUCCAGCUCCGCCUUGAAGAGACAGAUAAAGUAUAUCCCAUCUUCCUCCAAAACUUCAAAUGAGAAACAAGUAAAUUUUUUGCAGCCCUAUGCAGCCACUGCCAUAACCCUGAGUAUCAGUUGGCAUCUUUUACGUCUCACUGGCUAGAAGUUUCACGUUUUCAUUGCCCUGAAUCACCAGAUGGAUCCAUCAAACACAACAAAUGCCUCCAGAAACACUAACUCACUCCCGUUGAUCUCAGUGGGUUACAUAACUAUUGUCAUACUGACAAUGAAAUUGGAAAUAUCUGUGUUGCAGACUCAGAUACUUAAGCUUUCUAUCAGGGCUGAGAAACUGCAGAAGGAAAACUAAAUCUUAAAUUAAAUUUUAGAGUUUUUCAGUUUCUCAGAAAUUUGAUAGACGUGCACUUUUGGGAGGAUUUCUGAUCUGUUUGUGGGGGGAAGGUGUGGGUUUUUUUAUACCAACAGGGAUGAUUCAUGGACUGAGAGAUAUAUUUUUUCUAAGAUGUAACGCUAUAUCUUCACAAGUAGGAAAAUGUGGAAGUGAAAAAUGACCUCUCAGCCUUCCUGAGGAGCUGCCAGUGCUGUAGCUUGGCUGUAUGUUGGCCUGAUCCUCCUGUGCCCCAGGAUGCCCAAACCUGCUGCUCCUUCUCAACCUCCAGAAGACCAGAAGGCAGCUGAACAUCCCUGCCCCACUCUGACAGGAGCUUACACCUGGAAAGCACUGUCAGGAAAGCAGUGAAGUCAUCGCAGGUCAAACACUGAGUGUUGCUUAAAAAGGGAAAUUUGGACUAUGGACACGUGGACAAAUUGCCCUAAGGAUCCCAUUUAUCAACUGAUGUGUGAGAACCGCUUCUUAUCUGCAGUGAGAACCAGCCCAUGCAAGAGCUGGACCCCCAUGGCCACAAUAUUUGAACAGAUGUUUUAAAAUAAGUUCCAGGAAGGACAUAUGAAUGUCAGUUUAGAAAGGAGACUUGCCUGGGAUAUUUCUCUGAGCUUUGGCCACCCAGACCCCAUUACAGCUGAGCGUGGGCUUUUGCUGUAGAAAGGUGCUGAUUUAGCAAGAAUGCAAAACGUGUGCUGACAUCGGUGGGAGAUGUGCAUCUGGGAUGAUUAAAGACCAAACCCAACAGUAUUGGCCUGGGAUCUGCAGCUGCCCAGUGUGACCUCGGAGCCAGAAGGGACAAGCAGGAAGGCAGCUCCUCACCUUGCUGCUCCUUAUGCCAGCUGUGCAGGGCUUUCUCGUGUACUGCAAAGGAAUCUUUCCUCCUCCACGAAGAUGCCACAUCAGACAUUCACUGCACAUCCAGAUUUGCUUGAAGUUUGGUGCUUAGUGGUAUAUGAGAAGCUGAGUAGUACAGAGAAAUGACACGUUGAGUGUAAGAUGCUGCAUUCAUGGAGAAUUACAUCUCUUCCAUAGAGAGCCCAGCUGCCUGGACGCACUACAGCAAACCAGCUAAAAAUAAUGCACUCUUACAGGUUGGAAAGGACUGCACAACCCAAUGGGUUUGGACAAGAGCUACAAAGCCAUCUUGAAGGAAACAUCUACUUUGGUUUGUAGACGUCCUGGGAUCCUGCAGUCAGGAAAGGCAAGGAGAGGGAUAUUGUGGUAUUUCUCUGAGCUUUUGGGCUGCCUUGCAGUCUCCAAGCAAGAACACAGUGGAUUUCUUGUAAAUAUUUAAAGAAGUCUGACCCUCCCUGUGCAAUGCUGUGCUGUAAAGCAGUAGGAAGGCAGCUACCCACGUUUUCACACUGGAUGGCAUCACUUCCACUGAGUGUGCAGCAAGGUGCAAGACACAGCGAGAAAAUGGGACAGAUAUUUCUUCCUCCUCUCCUCAGGCCCAUGCUGCAGUACUGAUGGUGUCUUUCACAUGCCUGUCAUGGCCUGGAUCCAUAGGAGAAGGACGUCCUUUGUCUCAUCGCAGGCAGUAAGCAUCACAGCUCUGCUUUCAAGAUAUCAUUGUGACCAAUGCAUUUGUGCCGCACUUCAGUGCAAGAGCAACUGUCCCUUUGCCUGGAGGAAUCCUUGGGCAGUCCCACUGCUCUGCUGUCCCUGGAGCAACAUUUACUCUCAUCUCACACACAGGUGGGCAUUGGGCCUCUCCUAUGAGUUUAGAAUUUGAGGCAGGUUUGGGGGUAGCUCUGAAAAAUGUGAGAUGUGAAGGAAAAGUUUGGACCAACACAUGACAAAUUUUCUGCAUCUCAGUUCUAAAAGAAUUCAGGUUGUGUGAUAUAUUUGCACUUGCAAAUGUCUCAGGCUUUUUGUUUUUCUUUUAUACUUAUUUUAAGCUUGCAGCAUUGCAAUAACUAUGUUUUCAUAUUUCUUUUUCUCUGUGUCCUUGGGAAAAUGAGAUAGCAACACCUCAGGAAUUUGUGCUGGCAAAUAAUUCCCCUGGAACAGAGCUCUGUUUUGUGGCUGAAGAAAGAAAAUAAUCUUAAGGAUGUUAAUAGUCCUAAUUUCCAGAUGUGUAAGAGCUGAUGCUUUUGGAAAGGUGUGUAGGGAACGUAGAUGUCCUUUGGCAGAGCACUGUGGGAGCUCUAGAGAAGCAGAACGUUAGUGCUGUGAGGCUGUUUUGUGUUAGCUGCUGGUGUUGAAAUAGAGUAUUCUGUGGAAGAGCAAUCAGAGAAGAAAAAGAACUGUUGAACCAAAAGGUUUGCAAUGCAGUGCAGUGCUGGGCUCUGUUAUGCUAAGAAGGGCAGGAGAAGCCAAAUGUUUAAGGAGAGCUGGAAGGCAACAAGAGACAGCAGUGGGGAACAUUCACAUAAACAAUCAAUAACCUGCUGAGCAUGAGGAUUAAGAAACCAGUGAGGGAGAGGUGCAAAGAGAAAUGAAAGGAGAAAGAAACCAGAAUUGUAAAACAAUGGUGAGAAAAUUUGGCCCUCAUUGUGUGCAGAUGGGAUUCACAUCCCUCAUGUCAGCCUCACCAGCACCAGGGCUGUCCCAGCUCCCAAGAAGCUCCAGCUGCCACCAAGGGCUGUGCCAGACUGGAUUGGAGAGUGUGUCACAGGGAAGGUGACCUACACAUGAAUGCCAAAGUGGGGAGGAAUUUGAAGGAAGUGGUCAUUGUGUUCUAAAUGUUCUGGUCACUGUCAUGAAGGAGGAGGAUCAAAAGCUGCUGAAGAAACAGAAUUGUUUCCUGGCAUGAUGUGAUGGGGGGACUAGAUCAUCUCUUAAUGACAGAAAUGGCUUUGCAAAAAUGCUGCUUUAAAAAAAAAUAUCCAAAAUCCAGACAAUUUAGUUACAUGGAGCUGAGAUAGAACGUGAAGGUCCUUUAAGGUACUGCACAAUCAGUGCAGCACGUCUGCCUUGAGCCAGCCCACGUUGGAUUUACACAAAGUGCUGUGAGCAGUGGCAGGGCAGUUCCUACACUGGAAUGCCACUCCAUUCUCUUCUGUUCAUUCUUUCUUGUUUUGUGUUUUAAUCUGACUACACUUCACUCCUGGCAGCAGUUCACUAAGAAUGAACCAUGUCCUUUCCCCACCAGCCUUCACUUCUCACCGUGGUAGCUGCCCCUGCCUCUUCCUCCUCUUCUUCCCCUGCUGCUCUUCAUCAUCUUUUGUGCAGGAAAUCCUCCCAGCUGCCAGGCUCUUUCUCCAGUGAUGCUUCAGUUCGAGAAAUGAAAUUGCUGUUCCAAUGUCCUGUGAUGGAUGUGAUCUGGUCACCGUAUUUAACAUACCCUCGGAUAACAUUGAACAAAGAGAUGUUCCUGCAGUUCUGAUGCUGGGUACCGAUAUCAUGAGAGCAGAAUCAUUUGGAACAUUCAGAUGUUGGCUCAAGGGAGUUGCCGAUGGUGCGCGAAGCUUUUCUCUCUACAUCAGCAGAUUGCGUGCAGGAAUUUUGGAGUUGUGUUGAUAUGGAUAUUCAUUGCUGCACACCCAGGAUCCUCAUUUCCCUGGCUGCUCCCAACCUGAUGCCAUCUGCAGACAUGACAAGGAUGCCUUCUCCAGGUUAUCACUGCUGCCCACAGCAAAGUUGUGAAAGCAAAGGCAGGCUUACCUCAGCUUCAUAGAACAGAACUUCAUCAAAGCACGGUCAUAAUUUAACAUCUCUUCUGAAUUCUAUAGUAUUCUUUAUUUCUUUUGUAAUUACCAGAGUCAUAAACAUUGCUAUCUAGUCGAGAGCGACUGUGAGAUCUGUGGUGUUUGCUGUGUAUAUGCUACGGACAAUGGGUGUCAGGGAUAACUAACAGCAGGUCUGUUGAACGUAGCAGCUUUCAUUUGAAUGUGACAUUUGGAAACUCUUGUUGCUAGUGAAAAGCAGGACUUAUUUGCAUGCAGUGAUUGCUCAGCUUCCAAGCGAGUGCCAAUGAAUGCCAAAUGUAUACACUUAACUGAUUACGGAAAGCAGAACUGCAUUAUUUUGGCUUGAUUUAAAUAGUAUUGAGCUACAGUUUUAAUCUUGUUUCCAACUCCCUUUAUGUCCUGAAUGAUGUAGGGAACUAGACUACUGCAGCAGUCACCAGAUGAAUUUCCCUUAGGAAAUUAGCCCCCUGAUGCCUUAAGAUCAGCAAUGUUGUUCCAUGGAACAAUUGUUCCUUUCUGACCAGUCCUAAGAUAGCUGGAAGGAAGAAGAUCCCUUCUUAACCAUCACCAGGUUUGAAAUGAAAGGAGCUGCUCCUUAGAAAUAUCCCGGAAUCUGCUCCUUUUGGAAGCCAUCUUGAGAACUGUUGCAAAACUGUCCCCCAAAAUAAAGCAGUCUGAAAGAGCAAGAGAGCAGAUAGAUCCAGCAGUCACAGCACAAAGCACUUGGAGGAAAGUGAUGCAGGCUGCAAAGCACUUGGAGACUUCUCUUGAUGGAAACCAAUGACUCACCAUCAGCUCUUUAAACCUACGUUCCUGGCUGCCACCGUUAAAACCCUGCUGUGUCUGUAGACUAAUUAUGCAGAAAGUAGCUUUUCCUGAUAAAGGGUAACACUCGCUGAAGUGUAAUGGGGAAGGCAUCUCCACUGCAGUAUCGAUUCUUGCUGCUCUCGCUGUCGGGGCUGGUCUGAGCUGAAUGCAAUUAGAUGCGAUCCCUGCACUCAGGGGAAACGGGGCUUCUCUUUUUGUAACUGUGCCUUCUGCAAGUCCUGAUAAAUAGGACAUUAAAGGGGAAUUAUUCCAUUCUGUGUUUUACAAAAGGACUAGUCUUCCCCUAUUCAAUUACUGGGCCCUAACGAUCAAGUCAGUGAAAACAUUUACUGUUAGGUCUCUUUUUAUUUCAAUCCUUUCUGAUCCAGGGAAAAACAAAACCUUACAAAGAAAACACAGGAAAUUUUGCAUUAAGCUGACCUUGCCCCAUACAUCAUUCGUACAGCUUUCUUUCCAUGCUUCCAAGAGGCCAUUUAGCUUAAUGCUCUGUUCCACAUCUCAUUUCAUUAUGUUACAGGUGCUCUGGGGAUGAUUUUCAACAGAACAAAGGAAUGACAUAUUUCCUGGCUUGGAAAAUGAAUUCAGUGUUUGUUUAGGAGUCUCCCUCCUUUUGUGCCUUAGAUUUACUUCCCGUAAUACGGAAUGGGCGGUAAGUACUUUCACCAGAAUAUAGAACAUUGCAGAUGGAAGCGUUAAUACAAUUUCUUAGACCUCUUCAAUUACCCAAAGCCAUUGGGAAAUGCUUCAUAUGCUUGCUCUUGUAAUAAAAGGUUAACUUUUAUUCUUUUUUAUUUUUUAUUUAUAAUCUUCAGAAGUUUAAGCAAAGACAAAGCUUCCGUUCUAUUUUGUUUAACUUUUUGUCAAUAAAAACUACUUGUACAAAAUACAUUAUUUGUAAAGCAUCUAAAAAAAUAACAAACCAAAAACAUGCCUGGCUGUAUGAUAUUUAUUUAGACAGCACAUAUUUUAAGAGCCUGCAGUAUUCAAUCUGCAUGAAAAAGAAUGAAUGAACUGUAGGGGAAAAACAGGAGCGACAUCUUCAACUAUUUAUGCUCAGCGAGUUGCUGUCUCUCCAGAUGUGGAACAGGAAGCAUAAAAUUGUUCAAGAAAUGAAGUAUAAAAUCAGUGACAACCUUUGAAGUGACAUUAACAUUCUGAAACUUAAAAUUGUUUGAAACGUGGUAGAAAAUGAACUGUUUGUGAACAGCGAAUGAAACGCGCUGCUGAAAAUCCACUUAAGUACUGAACCAUUGAAGGAAAUUAAUCCUAAGUGGGACUUCAGGAGUAGAAUUUCUACUUUGAUGAAUUUUUCAUGCUUGAUAGAUAGUGAUAUUCAACUAAUAAUGUUAAUAACCGUACUAUUUGCAAGUAAUUAUCCCCAUAAAUGAGCUGUGAUGGUUUGAAAACAUCUGUUUCCUUUUGGAAUCAGUGUACAUCUGCCCUUAAACAAGGUGAAAAUGCAGUGUGAUAACUCUGAGGACUGAAUUGCUGUGUUUUUGGCUUUUUCCCCCCCCUGUAAUGCUGUAUUCCCUGCAAUUAGGUAACAGCUUUGAAUAUGAUUACAGCAUUUUUAUGUAUCAGCAUGUAUAUUAUUAGAAUGUUUGCUUCCUUAAUCUCUCUGCUUUAUCUGAUGUUUUAGGCAUUAAAUGAAUCAUGGGGUUGAUAUGUACAAUGUUUUCAAAAUAAUUCUUUUAUUAUUUUGCUGGUGAAUUCUGCUUGACAGAUAAUUCCUCUUAAUGAACUUUGCCACAGCUGCUUCCUACGUGGGGCUGUGCACACCCACCCUCCAUCUCCUUCACACCUCUUGCACCUCCACUGGCACAAAUCUGUGCAUGCAAUGGGCAAACACAAUAGAACCCUUCCAAGGCUGUGACUGAGACUUACUUUGAUGCCAGCACCCUGAAACUCGUGGUAAUCGAAUCCCUACAACAUCGUGUGAUGGAGAGGAAAGUGGCAGCUGGAUGGAUUUAAAAUGAAAACAUCUCUCUGAGGCUAUAGCUGCUCUCCAGGAGGGUGAGUCACAGGUUCCCAUACUGGAUAGCAACAAAAGCAAGGCUGGGAGAUUGUCCUCAAUCAGCACAGCUGUAGCUGGUAUGCGUGACAUG